rnacentral:tRNA from 1 species
CGAAAUAUAACGCAGUUGGUAGCGUGCCUGUUUUGGGAACAGGAAGUCAUGGGUUCAAGUCCCGUUGUUUCGA